rnacentral:lncRNA from 1 species
AUCAUUGUAUUCAAUGGGGUUAGGAACCAACCUGCAUAAUGAUUUGAUAUUUUGAUUUUAGAGAAGUGAAUUUGUGACUAAAUAUUAUGCAGAUGGAUAAUUAUAUUGUUUAUUUAUGUAAGGAUCAUUGUAUUCAAUGGGGUUAGGAACCAACCUGCAUAAUGAUUUGAUAUUUUGAUUUUAGAGAAGUGAAUUUGUGACUAAAUAUUAUGCAGAUGGAUAAUUAUAUUGUUUAUUUAUGUUUUUU